UCCAAUAGCGUAUAUUAAAGUUGUUGCAGUUAAAAAGUCUCGUAGUUGUAAUUUCGGGGUUAGUAGGUUGGUCAUGCCUCUGGUAUGUACUGGUCUCACUGUAUUCCUCCUUCUUUAUGAACCGUAAUGCCAUUAAUUUGGUGAUGCGGGGAAUUUGGACUGUUACUUUGAAAAAAUUAGAGUGUUUAAAGCAAGCUAACGCUUGAAUACAUUAGCAUGGAAUAAUGAAAUAGGACGUUCGAUCUUAUUUUGUUGGUUUCUAGGAUUGACGUAAUGAUUAAUGGGGAUAGUUAGGGGCAUUAGUAUUCAAUUGUCAGAGGUGAAAUUCUUGGAUUUAUUGAAGACUAACUACUGCGAAAGCAUUUGCCAAGGAUGUUUUCAUUAAUCAAGAACGAAAGUUAGGGGAUCGAAGACGAUCAGAUACCGUCGUAGUCUUAACCAUAAACUAUGCCGACUAGGGAUCGGAUGGUGGUUUUUUUAUGCCCCGUUCGGCGCCUUACGGGAAAC
rnacentral:rRNA from 1 species